UCUACUCAAUUAUCGGUAAUCCACCGGACGGAAGACAGCAAUUAACCCAUCACAGAUGGUGUUUAAGUGAAGCGAUGAAAAAUCAAUUCCCACACACGUGCUGCAUACAGACUGCUGAUUAAAAAAGCCCUUUCCGUUCCCUCACCCGCUUGUCCCUUUUCCACCCACUCGCUCUUUCUCUCUUGCACACUCACACACAAGUGGCCGUACGAAUGGCAGGCGGCACUCUCUACUUACGAAAACCUAUCAAUCAUCUACUUCCCCCGUGGUCCCAGUGGAUGCAAGCGGUGUAAGUGAAACGUGAAACGUCCCACUGGGGGGAACAAAAUCCAAUCCACCAGGUCCACCCAGUGAGCCCAGUAUUGGUGAAGGGGACUGAGCCGUUUCUGCGAAAAACCAUGCUAGACAUUCCCAACGGGACCACUUCCACCGCCGCAUCCCACUACCCCGGUGUGAUGAGUUUCCUUAACGCCGCCGGUGCAACCUUUCUCGAUGGCCUCAGCGGCACAGCGGUCAACAGUGGUGGAGCGUUGCUGCCCGCGGGAAAUUUUUUACCCACCCUCGGCGGAAGCGUGUCGCCACUGGUCAACUACUCGUCGGUGGUUAGUUCCUCGCCGUCACCGGCCACCAUGCUGUCGAGCGGGCCGGCAAACGGAUCGAUGGCACCGCUGCUUACGACGGCCCUGCUGAACGUGAACGGUACGGGGCUGGAGUACGGCGACACGGGCAGCAAUCUGACCCACUCGUUUACCAACUUCGUGCACAAGGAGUUUAUCUUUGACCGGACGGAUGUGCGAGUAAUAUUCAUCACGCUCUACUCGCUGGUGUUUUGCUGCUGUUUCUUCGGAAACCUGCUCGUAAUUCUCGUGGUGACACUCUCGAGAAGGUUGCGCUCGAUAACCAACUUCUUCCUCGCGAACCUGGCCGUAGCUGACCUGUGCGUGGGGGUGUUUUGCGUGAUGCAGAACCUCACCAUCUACCUGAUCGAAAGCUGGGUGUUUGGAGACUUCCUGUGCAAGAUGUACCAGUUUGUGCAUUCGCUCAGCUACACCGCCUCGAUAUUCAUCCUGGUCGUCAUCUGCAUGGAGCGCUACUUCGCCAUCAUCCAUCCGAUCACGUGCAAGCAGAUCCUCACCUCGCGCCGCCUAAGGCUCGUGAUCGUUGCCGUUUGGAUAACGUCCGCCGUCUACUCCAUCCCGAAGUUCAUCUUCGUGCGCACCAUCACGAACAACCUGGGCGACGACCAGCUGGAAACGAUCUGCAUCGUCAACCGGAAAAUGUUCAACUCCGAGCUGUUCGACAUUAUCAACUUUGCCCUGCUGUACCUGCUUCCGCUGCUGGUUAUGACGGUCCUGUACAGCCGAAUAGCGAUAGCGCUGUGGAAAAGCUCACGGGGGCUGGAGCGGCACAUUGCGCUGCAAAAUACGACCUCGUCAAGCUACUCGAGCAAUUUCCACCGGAAGCCGAGCAGCAAGUAUGACAAGCGAACCACAGGUGUCACCGAAAGCCAGGUGUCGGUGGAGUCGGACAAGGUGGUAGUGACAACGUGGCCGGCACAGAACAGCUUCCACCAACGGCACGGCACCCAGCUAACGCAGGUGUCCCACUCGUCCAACAACGUGCUACGGGCGCGCCGUGGCGUUAUUCGCAUGCUGAUGGUGGUGGUGCUAACGUUUGCCCUCUGCAACCUACCGUUUCAUGCCCGAAAGAUGUGGCAAUAUUGGUCCACCGACUACAAGGGUGAUUCCAACUUCAACGCACUCUUCACACCGCUCACCUUCCUGGUGACGUACUUCAACUCCGGCGUCAACCCGCUGCUGUACGCCUUCCUGAGCCGCAACUUUCGCAAAGGCAUGCGCGAGCUGUUGCUGUGUUCCUUCAAGAAGAACAAAAACAAAUCGCUCAACCAGCGUAUCCCGCUGCACCGACCACGAUCCGUCCUAGUGCUGCUGCGACAUGCCAUGCUAUGCUGGGCCACGGACAAACCGACCGUCUCCCUGGCGACGCAUUGCCCUUCGCCGACUACCCGCUCGCUCGAUGGCGUCGACGAGCGGAUGCUGUGAUGGGAGCACCGGUCCAAGAUGGGAUGAGUCGGCGAAACUGAAUGUGUCGGGCCACAGCCAGGACGCGGCUGGAGUAGGAACGCUCUGACUCGGUUCGGUUGGUUCGUUGUCUUGCUCGCAUAGAGGCAUCACGCUCGAAGGUGGCUCGAACCGCUUGGUUAGGGUGUCUGAUGCCGUGCUAAACCCAUGAAAGAGACCGAGCUAAAAACAGAACGGAACCAUUCCUUACCGACCGAUUCGACCCAUGUAGGAUUUCCCCAAUGAUGCCACGACCUGAUCGACCGCGGGUGCUGCAGUCGGUGCGUCGGCAGCGGCCGGGACAGGGGUAAGGUCAGCCGCGUCCGCCGCCGCCGAGAGCACCGCUAACGCACCCGGCACCACUGGCACCCGGUCGCGGGUGCACCGCUUCCGUCAGCAUACGCUCUUCCGGCGCAACGAGCUGCUGUUUCGCCGCACGAACGAGCUGGUAAGCAAUGGGGACGAGGACGACGACGAGGACGACGAGGACGAUCUGAACGAGCCGGCCACGACGCUGUCCACCGCAACGAUGGCUCCACCGCUGACGGUAAGCGUCAUCGAGCUGGGCAGUGGACGGUAAAGCGGUUUGUAUCAUCGCGACGUCCACGACUGUGUUACAAACAGUAUUCUGUUUUAUUUCACAUCGACAUCGAAAGGAAGCGUUGCUCAAGCGUGGCGCACAACGAAAGCUUAACAAUUAAAGCGAUCCCAGAGUCAGAUGAAUGUCAAUCAAUAGAGCAAGCGUUUGAGUGCAAGGCAGAAGGCAACCAGGCCAGGUUCAAUUUCACACCACAACGAAACGUAUGCCAAUUUGUACAGCGUACCCGCGUCCAAAAGUUGUUUUUCCUCCCCAAGCCGAUUGGUGUGUGAGUGUGUGUGUGUGUGCGAGCGUGAUUGGUUCCGAAUGGAAACUUUUGGCCCAAUUACGCCCAUGAUGACUGCUACUACAUUCGCUUAUUUCCAUCCUUAUUUGCACUGUCUUCCUGCUACUCGUGUCGUGGAAAGGGAGUGCCUGUGUACUAGUGUGAGACAAAAAAUGAUGCCAAAAUUGCAGACGAAAGAAAUAGAGCGAAGAGAGCAUUAAGUAGCUCCCCCUGAUACUGGAAAGCUGUUAGCACUGACAAUAGAAAGUUUCGCUCAAUAGCAAUGAUGUACUACCGUUUCUUUCCGGCUGCUAGUGAGAUUUGCGCCGAAUGCUGAAUGUUUAUUUUCCCCCACCAUUUUUACCAAAGAACGUAUAGGGUUGAGCGAGUCACCAUUUCAAUACUACCACAGUAGAUCUUCAUAGCAGCGCAGAAUAGUGGUAAACAUAGCCCCGUGGCGGCAGAAUGAAAUGCAGACAGAGAAACCAAUUAGGAAUCACGUACGGAACGUACAGAGCAAUGUGUUGAGAGCAGACUAUUAGGUUCGCUUUUUUUUAGAUCAAUGAACUAUUUUCUGCUGGGGUUUGAAUAUUUGACUUGUAAAACUCUUUGUACGCUUUAGCAGUAGCGACUUUGGAAUUGAAUGUUUGUGGAGCUGCUUAGUUAGGACGAGGAAUUAAAAAUUUGAAAGUAAAUAUUUUGAGCCUAAAUUUGGGAGCUAUGUUUGAGUACAACUUGUAACUUAUUUUUAGAUAAUUUUUAAUUUUUAAUCAAGCACAUAAAUUACAAAAGAUUAUAAUGUGUUGAAUUGUUAUAUUUGACUUUUACAAGUCUUUAUUUUUGAUACAGAAGUUUCAGUUUUGAAAAUAAGUUCCACCAUUUUAAGAUCGUUCAUGGUAAUUGUAAUUAGCAACGCAACUGUAAUAACAGUGCAAAAAAGCAACUGUAAUUACAAACACUUAUUUCCUUUAAGUUUAUGUUACUUUGCCAUUAGAAGGAUCGGGAAGGUCAAACUUUUUGAUUCAACAUUUUGUAGUUUUUAAUUAAACUGUGCUGAAAACAUCACACGGUUUAGUACAAUCAUUUUAAUUACAGACAAUAAAGAAAGCGGAUAUGAUAACUAUUUACUUACACGAUUUUUAAAUAACUUCCUAAUUUUCAGCUUCCUUUUGCUAAUGUUUGAUUAAGCAAACAUUUUAGUAAUCACAGAAACUAAAUGUGCUACGCUCUAUGUGUAUUUCAUUUGCACUCAAAUUAUUUCAAAUAACGAUACUGUGAUAAAGCACUGAACAAACGAUGGACGAAAGUGGCGCGGGAAUGGAACGAUGCUCAUGUGUAAAUGUAUGUGCAAACUACUUGGCGGCGCUGGCGAAACGGUUAAGCGAUGAAUCAAUUACAGUUCGUUUUCGUAUUUCGAUACGAAUUUGAAUUCCGAUUUUGCGAGAGAGAGAAGCAAACAGCGUGCACUGUAAGCUGUAGAAAUACUGUACAUCAAAGCAUAUUUUAAUCCAAGCAUCAUCCGCAUACGUAUUAGGGCGUACUUAAACAAAGGCCCAGCCACGGUACUAGAGAGCCGGCGGAUGGAAGUUUGCCAAACAGGUCGAAUUGUUGAACAAUGAACUCUUCUAACGGAAAUGUUGUCGCUGAAGAUAAAGGUUAUAUUUAAAAAAAAGAAGUAUAUUUUUUCACACAUUAACCAUUACACCAGAGUUUGCUAAUGCGUUAGAUGAGAUAAGUAGAUGAACGGGGAGAAAAGCGGGGAAAAACAUCGAUUGUUUAAGAAAAUGUUCCGAGUCCUUAAGGAAAAAGGCGAGAAAGUGUGUGGUGGGGACGAAAGAUUUUACGAGAGAUAGAACAAUUCGAAUUUUAAUUGUAGUUUCUACGAUUGGAGGUGAGGCGCGAGUGAGGCUCAAUGCAAAAUCAAAACCAGAAAGAAUUUAUUGUACGCCCCAGGAAUAAGAUUAAUAAAAUUAUAGUGCU